UACGUAGGUGGCAAGCGUUGUCCGGAUUUACUGGGCGUAAAGAGCGCGCAGGCGGUCGUUCAAGUCGCGUGUGAAAGCCCCCGGCUCAACUGGGGAGGGUCACGCGAUACUGAUCGACUCGAAGGCAGGAGAGGGAAGUGGAAUUCCCGGUGUAGUGGUGAAAUGCGUAGAUAUCAGGAGGAACACCGAUUGCGAAGGCAGCUCGCUGGGACGUAACUGACGCUGAGACGCGAAAGCUAGGGGAGCAAACAGG
rnacentral:rRNA from 1 species